rnacentral:rRNA from 1 species
GGCGGCACGCCUAACACAUGCAAGUCGAACGAAGUAGCAAUACUUAGUGGCAAACGGGUGAGUAAUAUGUGGGAAUCUGCCCUUCGGUCUGGAAUAACAUGAGGAAACUUAUGCUAAUACCGGAUAAGCCUUUACAGGGAAAGCUUUAUGCUCCGAUGGAUGAGUCCACACUUGAUUAGUUAGUUGGUGAGGUAAUAGCUCACCAAGACAAUGAUCAAUAGCUGAUUUGAGAGGAUGAUCAGCCACAUUGGGACUGAGACACGGCCCAAACUCCUACGGGAGGCAGCAGUGGGGAAUUUUGCACAAUGGGGGAAACCCUGAUGCAGCGAUGCCGCGUGAGUGAAGAAGGCCCUUGGGUUGUAAAGCUCUUUCGUCGGGGAAGAAAAUGACUGUACCCGAAUAAGAAGGUCCGGCUAACUUCGUGCCAGCAGCCGCGGUAAUACGAAGGGACCUAGCGUAGUUCGGAAUUACUGGGCUUAAAGAGCACGUAGGUGGUUAAAAAAGUUGGUGGUGAAAUCCCAGAGCUUAACUCUGGAACUGCCAUCAAAACUUUUUAGCUAGAGUAUGAUAGAGGAAAGUAGAAUUUCUAGUGUAGAGGUGAAAUUCGUAGAUAUUAGAAAGAAUACCAAUUGCGAAGGCAGCUUUCUGGAUCAUUACUGACACUGAGGUGCGAAAGCAUGGGUAGCGAAGAGGAUUAGAUACCCUCGUAGUCCAUGCCGUAAACGAUGUGUGCUAGACGUUGGAAAUUUAUUUUCAGUGUCGCAGCGAAAGCGUUAAGCACACCGCCUGGGGAGUACGACCGCAAGGUUAAACUUAAAUGGGAAUGACGU